rnacentral:rRNA from 1 species
GGUUUGAUCUGGCUCAGAUUGAACGCUGGCGGGAUGCUUUACACAUGCAAGUCGAACGGCAGCACGGACUUCGGUCUGGUGGCGAGUGGCGAACGGGUGAGUAAUGUAUCGGAACGUGCUAGUAGCGGGGGAUAACUACGCGAGAAGCGUAGCUAAUACCGCAUGCGCCCUUCGGGGAAAGCGGGGGGACCUUCGGGCCUCGCACUAUUGAAGCGGCCGAUAUCGGAUUGGCUAGUUGGUGGGGUAACGGCUCGCAAAGGCGACGAUCCGUAGCUGGUUUGAGAGGACGACCAGCCACACUGGGACUGAGACACGGCCGGGCUCCUGCGGGAGGCGACAGUGGGGAAUUUUUUGGACAAUGGGGAAACCCUGAUCCAGCCAUCCCGCGUGUGCGAUGAAGGCCUUCGGGUUGUAAGCACUUUUGGCAGGAAAGAAACGGCACGGGAUAAUACCCCGUGCAACUGACAGUACCUGCAGAAUAAGCACCGGCUAACUACGUGCCAGCAGCCGCGGUAAUACGUAGGUGCAGAUUGUGGAAUUACUGGGCGUAAAGCAUUGCGCAGGCGGUUCGGAAAGAAAGAUGGCAAAAUCCCAGAGCUUAACUUUGGAACUGCAUUUUUAACUACCGAGCUAGAGUGUGUCAGAGGAGGUACGAUUCCCGCGUGUAGCAGUGAAAUGCGUAGAUAUGCGGAGGAACACCGAUGGCGAGCACCCAGCCUCCUGGGAUAACACUGACGCUCAUGCACGAAAGCGUGGGGGAGCAAACCGGGGAUUGAUACCUGGUAGUCCACGCCCUAAACGAUGUCAACUAGCUGUUGGGGCCUUCGGGCCUUGGUAGCGCAGCUAACGCGUGAAGUUGACCGCCUGGGGAAGUACGGUCGCAAAGAUUAAAGCCAAGGAAUUGACGGGGACCCACACAAGCGGUGGAUGAUGUGGAUUAAUUCGAUGCAACGCGAAAAACCUUACCUACCCUUGACAUGUCUGGAAUCCCGAAGAGAUUGGGAGUGCUCGCAAGAGAACCGGAACACAGGUGCUGCAUGGCUGUCGUCAGCUCGUGUCGUGAGAUGUUGGGUUAAGUCCCGCAACGAGCGCAACCCUUGUCAUUAGUUGCUACGAAAGGGCACUCUAAUGAGACUGCCAGUGACAAACCGGAGGAAGGUGGGGAUGACGUCAAGUCCUCAUGGCCCUUAUGGGUAGGGCCUGUACACGUCAUACAAUGGUCGGAACAGAGAGGUCGCCAACCCGCGAGGAGACUAAUCCAGAAACCCGAUCGUAGUCGGAUCGCAGUCUGCAACUCGACUGCGUGAAGUCGAAUCUUGCAGUAGGAUCAGCAUGUCGCGGUGAAUACGUUCCGGGUCUUGUACACACCGCCCGUCACACCAUGGGAGUGGGUUUUACCGAAGUAGUUAGCCUAACCGUAAGGAGGGCGAUUACCACGGUAGGAUUCGCGGCUGGGAAUUGAAGUCGUAACAAGGUAG